AUUGAACGCUGGCGGAAUGCUUUACACAUGCAAGUCGAGCGGCAGCGCGGGGGCAACCCUGGCGGCGAGCGGCGAACGGGUGAGUAACACAUCGGAACGUACCUUUUAGUGGGGGAUAACUAUCCGAAAGGAUAGCUAAUACCGCAUACGCCCUGAGGGGGAAAGGGGGGGAUCGCAAGACCUCUCGCUAAAAGAGCGGCCGAUGUCGGAUUAGCUAGUUGGUGAGGUAAAGGCUCACCAAGGCGACGAUCCGUAGCUGGUCUGAGAGGAUGAUCAGCCACACUGGGACUGAGACACGGCCCAGACUCCUACGGGAGGCAGCAGUGGGGAAUUUUGGACAAUGGGCGCAAGCCUGAUCCAGCCAUUCCGCGUGAGUGAAGAAGGCCUUCGGGUUGUAAAGCUCUUUCGGCAGGAACGAAACGGUGAGGGUUAAUACCCCUUAUCAAUGACGGUACCUGAAGAAGAAGCACCGGCUAACUACGUGCCAGCCGCCGCGGUAA
rnacentral:rRNA from 1 species